GACGAACGCUGGCGGCGUGCCUAAUACAUGCAAGUCGAGCGAAUGGAUUAAGAGCUUGCUCUUAUGAAGUUAGCGGCGGACGGGUGAGUAACACGUGGGUAACCUGCCCAUAAGACUGGGAUAACUCCGGGAAACCGGGGCUAAUACCGGAUAACAUUUUGAACCGCAUGGUUCGAAAUUGAAAGGCGGCUUCGGCUGUCACUUAUGGAUGGACCCGCGUCGCAUUAGCUAGUUGGUGAGGUAACGGCUCACCAAGGCAACGAUGCGUAGCCGACCUGAGAGGGGGAUCGGCCACACGGGGACUGAGACACGGCCCAGACUCCUACGGGAGGCAGCAGUAGGGAAUCUUCCGCAAUGGACGAACGUCUGACGGAGCAACGCCGCGUGAGUGAUGAAGGCUUUCGGGUCGUAAAACUCUGUUGUUAGGGAAGAACAAGUGCUAGUUGAAUAAGCUGGCACCUUGACGGUACCUAACCAGAAAGCCACGGCUAACUACGUGCCAGCCGCCGCGGUAA
rnacentral:rRNA from 1 species